UGAGAAGGCAAAUGAACCAAAUGUGAAGCUGAUGAGUGAGUUCUACACCUAUCCCUGAACUGUGAAAUGUUCACAACAGUACAAGAGAAUGGUCUUUGUCAUCAAGCAUACUAGGCUUCUUAUUUUCAAUUUGGAUUUGCCCUGGCAAAUCAAAGAUUUCUUAGGCUGCUGAGCUUCUGCUGAGAUUCAGCUUUGCCAGAGGAUUUCCAUGCUGCCUCUAACCUCCAGCAUUUCUACCUUCAGGUGGUAACAUUAACU
rnacentral:lncRNA from 1 species